rnacentral:rRNA from 1 species
GUGGAUCUUGCCAGUAGUCAUAUGCUUGUCUCGAAGAUUAAGCCAUGCAUGUCUAAGUACACGCCCUAGCAAGGCGAAACCGCGAAUGGCUCAUUAAAUCAGUUAUGGUUCCUUAGAUCGUACACAUUUACUUGGAUAACUGUGGUAAUUCUAGAGCUAAUACAUGCAAUUGAGCCCUCGUCCCUUUUAGGGUGAGGGUGCUUUUAUUAGACCAAGACCAAACGGGGGCAACUCCGAUAGUCGUGGUGACUCUGAAUAACUAUGGCGGAUCGCACAGUCCUAGUACUGGCGACGCAUCUUUCAAGUGUCUGCCUUAUCAACUUUCGAUGGUAGGUUAUGCGCCUACCAUGGUUGUUACGGGUAACGGGGAAUCAGGGUUCGAUUCCGGAGAGGGAGCCUGAGAAACGGCUACCACAUCCAAGGAAGGCAGCAGGCGCGCAAAUUACCCACUCCCGGCACGGGGAGGUAGUGACGAAAAAUAACAAUACGGGACUCUAACGAGGCUCCGUAAUUGGAAUGAGUACACUCUAAACCUUUUAACGAGGAUCUAUUGGAGGGCAAGUCUAGUGCCAGCAGCCGCGGUAACUCUAGCUCCAAUAGCGUAUAUUAAAGUUGUUGCGGUUAAAAAGCUCGUAGUUGGAUCUCAGUCGCGCUCCCUUCGAUACGUUGCAAAGCGUUUAUCGUUGGGGCCGACAGCACGUUGGUGGCCCCGGUUGGCUUUAAUCGGUUGAUCGGGUUCUCCGGCAAUUUUACUUUGAAAAAAUUAGGGUGCUCAAAGCAGGCUGGUGCCUGGAUAUUGGUGCAUGGAAUAAUGGAAUAGGACCUCGGUUCUAUUUUGUUGGUUUUCGGAUCCCGAGGUAAUGAUUGAGAGGGACAGACGGGGGCAUUCGUAUUGCGGCGCUAGAGGUGAAAUUCUUGGACCGCUGCAAGACGAACUACUGCGAAAGCAUUUGCCAAGAAUGUUUUCAUUAAUCAAGAACGAAAGUUAAAGGUUCGAAGGCGAUCAGAUACCGCCCUAGUUCUAACCAUAAACGAAUGCCAACCACGCGAUCCGCCUGAGUUCCUUAAACGACUCGGCGGGCAGCUUCCGGGAAACCAAAGUUUUUGGGUUCCGGGGGAAGUAUGGUUGCAAAGCUGAAACUUAAAGGAAUUGACGGAAGGGCACCACCAGGAGUGGAGCCUGCGGCUUAAUUUGACUCAACACGGGAAAACUCACCCGGCCCGGACACCGGAAGGAUUGACAGAUUGAUAGCUCUUUCUUGAUUCGGUGGGUGGUGGUGCAUGGCCGUUCUUAGUUGGUGGAGCGAUUUGUCUGGUUAAUUCCGAUAACGAACGAGACUCUAGCCUACUAAAUAGACCCACGGUCCUUAGUACCGUGAACGGGUCUUCUUAGAGGGACAGGCGGCUUUUAGCCGCACGAAACAGAGCAAUAACAGGUCUGUGAUGCCCUUAGAUGUCCGGGGCCGCACGCGCGCUACACUGAAGGAAUCAGCAUGUGUCUACCCUUGUCCGAAAGGACCGGGUAACCCUCUGAACCUCCUUCGUGAUGGGGAUAGGGGAUUGUAAUUAUUCCCCUCGAACGAGGAAUUCCCAGUAAGCGCGAGUCAUCAGCUCGCGUUGAUUACGUCCCUGCCCUUUGUGCACACCGCCCGUCGCUACUACCGAUUGAAUGGUUUAGUGAGGUCUUCGGACUGGUCCAUCGAGCAGUACCCGCUGUUCUUUGAGCCGGGAAGAUGAUCAAACUUGGCCAUUUAGAGGAAGUA